CCGUAACUAUAACGGUCCUAAGGUAGCGAAAUUCCUUGUCGGGUAAGUUCCGACCUGCACGAAUGGCGUAAUGAUGGCCAGGCUGUCUCCACCCGAGACUCAGUGAAAUUGAACUCGCUGUGAAGAUGCAGUGUACCCGCGGCAAGACGGAAAGACCCCGUGAACCUUUACUAUAGCUUGACACUGAACACUGGUCCUUGAUGUGUAGGAUAGGUGGGAGGCUUUGAAGUGUGGACGCCAGUCUGCAUGGAGCCGUCCUUGAAAUACCACCCUUUAAUGGCUGGUGUUCUAACGUAGACCCGUAAUCCGGGUUGCGGACAGUGUCUGGGGGGUAGUUUGACUGGGGCGGUCUCCUCCCAAAGAGGAACGGAGGAGCACGAAGGUUAGCUAAUCCUGGUCGGACAUCAGGAGGUUAGUGCAAUGGCAUAAGCUAGCUUGACUGCGAGAGUGACGGCUCGAGCAGGUGCGAAAGCAGGUCAUAGUGAUCCGGUGGUUCUGAAUGGAAGGGCCAUCGCUCAACGGAUAAAAGGUACUCCGGGGAUAACAGGCUGAUACCGCCCAAGAGUUCAUAUCGACGGCGGUGUUUGGCACCUCGAUGUCGGCUCAUCACAUCCUGGGGCUGAAGUAGGUCCCAAGGGUAUGGCUGUUCGCCAUUUAAAGUGGUACGCGAGCUGGGUUUAGAACGUCGUGAGACAGUUCGGUCCCUAUCUGCCGUGGGCGCUGGAGAAUUGAGGGGGGCUGCUCCUAGUACGAGAGGACCGGAGUGGACGCAUCACUGGUGUUCGGGUUGUCAUGCCAAUGGCACUGCCCGGUAGCUAAAUGCGGAAAAGAUAAGUGCUGAAAGCAUCUAAGCACGAAACUUGCCCCGAGAUGAGUUCUCCCUGAGACUUUAAGUCUCCUGAAGGAACGUUGAAGACGACGACGUUGAUAGGUCGGGUGUGUAAGCGCAGCGAUGCGUUGAGCUAACCGAUACUAAUGAACCGUGAGGCUUAACCUU
rnacentral:rRNA from 1 species